rnacentral:rRNA from 1 species
UGGGUAGUCCGCACGAGCGCACCUUACUGUCAGUUGCUAACAUUUAGUUGAGGACUCUGAUGGGACUGCCGCUGAUAAGGCGGAGGAAGGUGGGGGCGACGUCAAGUCAUCAUGGCCCUUACGGGUAGGGCUACACACGUGCUACAAUGGUUGUUACAGAGGGAUGCUAAGCCGCGAGGUGGAGCGAAACCCAGAAAGGCAAUCGUAGUCCGGAUUGGAGUCUGCAACUCGACUCCAUGAAGUUGGAAUCGCUAGUAAUCGCGAAUCAGAAUGUCGCGGUGAAUACGUUCCCGGGUCUUGUACACACCGCCCGUCACACCACGGGAGUAGGUUGCACCAGAAGUAGCUAGACUAACCUUCGGGAGGUCGGUUACCACGGUGUGAUUUAUGACUGGGGUGAAGUCGUAACAAGGUAGCCGUAGGGGAACCUGCGGCUGGAUCACCUCCUU